AAUACAGCACACUGCCUCUGUGCUCUUCCCAGCCCAGUGAGGGCUGUACCCUCUGAUUUGUGAGCAGAGGAUCUCCAGAAAGAACUGGGAGAACCUUCUCUGAAGGCAUUUAUCCUCUGUGUCCUCCCCCACAAUAGAGCUCACAAGUCGUCGCACAUUUCCUUCUCUCAUCUUACGGUUUCAUAAAGAGGUGGGCCCACUUUUUGUUAAUUUCAUUCCCAGUCCAAACACCACUUCUUCCUCCUCCCAGCCCUACUGAAGUGAACAUGCGCCUAUAUUCCACCAUCUAAUGGGAUAACACAUUUUGUUGGGUCAGUGCUGUCUGACCUUGGAGCGAAUUAAAAUAAAGAUUCUGAGUUUUAAAGUUGUCAGGCCUUGGUUUCCAUGAAGAGGAACUCUAUUUUCACUCAUCCUCCAGCAAGAGAUGAGCAGCUUGAAAUCACUUUGACAGUGAGAGUUGCUCUAUUGCAUACCACAGGGAAUUUUAAUUCCAGCCUGUGAAAUUGUAAUUGCUUCUCAAGGAGAAGUGGGGAAUUCUGGGUAAUGGCCACAGCCAAGCUCAAUGUCAGAGCUGCCAGUUGCUGCCACAUCAGAUAUUACUUGCUGUUAUUCAAAACUCCAGCUUUCCAUAUGGGAAAGUUGAACUGGGGAGUGAAAGUAAAUUAACAGAAACUGUCAGCAGUUCAGAGCAGCACAGACAGCAGUGUGACAGAGGUGGGUGACUUCCCAUCAGAAAAGAUGGAGGUCAUGCGGGGGAGAAAAUCCCUGGAUUUCUACAGCGCUGCCACCCUGCUCACCGAUUGGUCACCAGCAUGGAGGCUGACAUCAUGAAGGUCCUGAGUCUGCUGCAGGCAGUGGCCUUGGUCCCUUUCUGAGCCAAAGAGCAGAGUGAAGCUGCAGCCAAACUGAAGGUGCCUCAUUUAGUUGUAUUCUAAUUAUACACCUUGACAAAAAAAGCCAGAAGAAGAGCCAGCAGAGCCACACCCACGGCCGUCC